AACGAACGCUGGCGGCAUGCCUAACACAUGCAAGUCGAACGAGACCUUCGGGUCUAGUGGCGCACGGGUGCGUAACGCGUGGGAACCUGCCCUUAGGUUCGGAAUAACUCCCCUAAAGGGGUGCUAAUACCGGAUAAUGUCUUCGGGCCAAAGAUUUAUCGCCUUUGGAUGGGCCCGCGUUAGAUUCGCUAGUUGGUAGUGUAAUAGCCUACCAAGGCGACGAUGCAUAGCUGGUCUGAGAGGAUGUCCAGCCACACUGGGACUGAGACACGGCCCAGACUCGUACGGGAGGGAGCAGUGGAGAAUAUUGGACAAUGGGCGAAAGCCUGAUCCAGCAAUGCCGCGUGAGUGAUGAAGGCCGUAGGGUUGUAAAGCUCUUUUACCCGGGAUGAUAAUGACAGUACCGGGAGAAUAAGCACCGGCUAACUACGUG
rnacentral:rRNA from 1 species